UAUGUAUCGUUAAUGGAGUGAAUGAUUUAACAAGUCGGCUAGUUUCGCAGGGUCAACUAUAUUCAUACAAUCGAUUAAUCAUCGUUUGACAGUUAAAUGAACGGUUCGCGAGGAUUAGUCUCGAUAUUCGGUAUACGGUUCUAGUCGACAAUGUCCGCCUUCGAGAUUGGCGAUCGCAGCGCCGCGUUAUGGUGUCGAAACGGCCACGUUUGUUUUCUAACCUGAGUCGCCGCCGGUUAUCGUGCACUGUGCAAUUUCCCGUGUAUCAUUAAUAUCGGAACUCGUAGCGGCUGCUUGCAAAUUAAACCAUUUAAUGCACGCAUUGGACACCGUUAGAGUCAACUUCGAUACUCCGUGAAUGCUAACUAGAUCUGUUCAACGGUUUCUCGUUCGCUCGUUACGCUCACCGGUUAACCGUGCAAUUCCGUGCGUAUCGAUAUUAGAAAAUGUGUAUCAAUACUCGAAAUCGUCGACAGUGAUGCCACAGGAUAAUGACAGAGAAAACCGGUAGCCAUAAUAAAUGACAAAGUAACCAGUCUGUCCGAACGAGUUUUCAAUGACCGUUAAUUACGGCAACGUAGGAUAAAUGAGACACAUACUGAACGUAACAUAAAAUAUAGCUUGAUUCGACAACCUAUUUUCCAUUGUCCUCAAAAUGAAGCGUACGAUAACGCGGGAGGAAGAACGACUCGUGUGACUGGCAACGGCGGCUCCCCAUGCGACGUUCUGCGGAAAUUGUCGAGACAGGAAUUCUGGAAGUUGUGCACAGGCUGUUUCUGCGAAAAGCCAAACUCAUAGCUCUGCAGGUACAAUCUUCUAUAUGAUUAUAUGAUUAUAUUAUUCGAGAUGAAUGGCCAACAUGGCCAAAAAUUAUUAAAUUCUUUGAAUCGU